rnacentral:rRNA from 1 species
CCUACGAGUGGCAGCAGUGAGGAAUAUUGGUCAAUGGGCGGGAGCCUGAACCAGCCAUGCCGCGUGAAGGCGAGUGCCCUACGGGCGUUAAACUUCUUUUGUGCGUGAGCAAUAAGGGCCACGCGUGGCCCGAUGAGAGUACCGCACGAAUAAGCAUCGGCUAACUCCGUGCCAGCAGCCGCGGUAAUACGGGGGAUGCGAGCGUUAUCCGGAUUUAGUGGGUUGAAAGGGUGCGCAGGCGGUCUGUUAAGUCAGCGGUCAAAGACCGGGGCUCAACCCCGGCCCGCCGUUGAAACUGGCAGUCUCGAGUUGGAGAGAAGUAUGCGGAAUGCGCGGUGUGGCGGUUAAAUGCAGAGAUCUCUCGCAGAACUCCGCU